rnacentral:rRNA from 1 species
GUCACGCUGUAAACGAUGUCGAUUUGGAGUUUGUUGCCUAGAGUGAUGGGCUCCGAAGCUAACGCGAUAAAUCGACCGCUGGGGAGUACGGCCGCAAGGUUAAAACUCAAAUGAAUUGACGGGGGCCCGCACAAGCGGUGGAGCAUGUGGUUUAAUUCGAUGCAACGCGAAGAACCUUACCUGGUCUUGACAUCCAUAGAAUUCUGCAGAGAUGUGGGAGUGCCUUCGGGAACUAUGAGACAGGUGCUGCAUGGCUGUCGUCAGCUCGUGUUGUGAAAUGUUGGGUUAAGUCCCGCAACGAGCGCAACCCUUAUUCUUUGUUGCCAGCGAUUUGGUCGGGAACUCAAAGGAGACUGCCGUUGAUAAAGCGGAGGAAGGUGGGGACGACGUCAAGUCAUCAUGGCCCUUACGACCAGGGCUACACACGUGCUACAAUGGCGUAUACAAAGGGAGGCGAAGGUGCGAGCUGGAGCGGAUCUCAUAAAGUACGUCUAAGUUCGGAUUGGAGUCUGCAACUCGACUCCAUGAAGUCGGAAUCGCUAGUAAUCGUAGAUCAGAAUGCUACGGUGAAUACGUUCCCGGGCCUUGUACACACCGCCCGUCACACCAUGGGAGUGGGUUGCACCAGAAGUAGAUAGCUUAACCGCGAGGGGGGCGUUUACCACGGUGUGAUUCAUGACUGGGGUGAAGUCGUAACAAGGUAACCA